rnacentral:rRNA from 1 species
CCUACGGGUGGCAGCAGUGAGGAAUAUUGGUCAAUGGACGAGAGUCUGAACCAGCCAAGUAGCGUGAAGGAUGACUGCCCUAUGGGUUGUAAACUUCUUUUAUAAAGGAAUAAAACGAGGCACGUGUGCCUUUUUGCAUGUACUUUAUGAAUAAGGAUCGGCUAACUCCGUGCCAGCAGCCGCGGUAAUACGGAGGAUCCGAGCGUUAUCCGGAUUUAUUGGGUUUAAAGGGAGCGGAGAUGGGUCGUUAAGUCAGUUGUGAAAGUUUGCGGCUCAACCGUAAAAUUGCAAUUGAAACUGGAAGUCUUGAGUACAGUUGAGGUAGGCGGAAUUCGUGGUGUAGCGGUGAAAUGCUUAGAUAUCACGAAGAACCCCGAUUGCGAAGGCAGCUUACUAAACUGUGACUGACAUUGAUGCUCGAAAGUGUGGGUAUCAAACAGGAUUGGAUACCCCAGUAGUC